rnacentral:rRNA from 1 species
UACGAAGGGGGCGAGCGUUGUUCGGAUUUAUUGGGCGUAAAGGGUGCGUAGGCGGUCUGACAAGUCUGAUGUGAAAUCUAUGGGCUCAACCCAUAGUCUGCAUCGGAAACUGUCGGGCUUGAGUAUGGGAGAGGUGAGUGGAAUUUCCGGUGUAGCGGUGAAAUGCGUAGAUAUCUGGAGGAACACCGGUGGCGAAGGCGGCAUCCUGGACCAAUUCUGACACUGAGGAGCGAAAGCCAGGGGAGCAAACGGG